rnacentral:rRNA from 1 species
UACGUAGGGGGCGAGCGUUGUCCGGAUUUAUUGGGCGUAAAGGGUACGCAGGCGGCCAUGUAAGACAGGUGUGAAAUUCUAUAGCUUAACUAUAGUAAGCACUUGAAACUGUGUGGCCUGAGUUAAGGAGAGGAAAGUGGAAUUCCUAGUGUAGCGGUGAAAUGCGUAGAUAUUAGGAGGAAUACCAGUGGCGAAGGCGACCUUCUGGACUUAUACUGACGCUGAGGUACGAAAGCGUGGGGAGCAAACAGG